rnacentral:rRNA from 1 species
UACGAGAGGCCCAAACGUUAUUCGGAAUUACUGGGCUUAAAGAGUUCGUAGGCGGCAUUGCAAGUAGGGUGUGAAAGCCCUCGGCUCAACCGAGGAAUUGCGCUCUAAACUGCAGUGCUUGAGGAACCUAGAGGUGAGCAGAACAGAUGGUGGAGCGGUGAAAUGCGUUGACAUCAUCUGGAAUACCGGAGGCGAAGGCGGCUCACUGGGAGUUUUCUGACGCUGAGGAACGAAAGCCAGGGUAGCGAACGGG